AAAGCACUUUGGUCAUAAGGAAGUGCAACUGGUGAUGCACUCUCGAAACAUUCAUUGUUAUCAUAUCGACAUUGAUUGACUCCGAUAUGUAUUUCAAUUUUUUCAAUCUUACAAUAAAAACGAAGUUCC